rnacentral:rRNA from 1 species
AAGGGCACCACAAGAACGCGUGGAGCAUGUGGCUUAAUUUGACUCAACGCGGGAAAUCUUACCAGGUCCAGACACAUUGAGGAUUGACAGAUGUUUUGCCUUUCUAUUAUAUUAGAGUUUUACUCUAUAUAUAUUAACAAAGAGCAUUUUUUAAAUAUGCUAGUUCUUUCAUGAUUAUGUGAUAGGUGGUGCAUGGCCGUUCUUAGUUCGUGGAGUGAUCUGUCUGCUUAAUUGCGUUUCACUUAAUGGUAAAAAUGUUUUGUUAUAGUUUUUGCUUUUAUAGGUUCAGUGACCUCGCUUUAACGAGCGCAGCGUCCUACUAUAUGAGCAUCUAUAGUAUACUUUUUAUCUCUGAAGGCAACGAACGUGACCGCAACUUUUUGUUGCCUCCCUUAUGUAGAUGGCUUGUUAUAUAAUUCGUUAUAUUGCUUGCUAUUUUGCGUAACAAUAGUAUAUGGGAAAGCGUAGCUUCGGUUAUGUCUGACUUUGUGUAUUAUUGCAGUGGAGGGAAACUAAAAAGACUGCUGUUAUUUUUUUUAAACCAGAGUAAGGAUGCGGCAAUAACAGGUCUGUGAUGCCCUUAGAUGUUCCGGGCUGCACACGUGCUACAAUGAUUGUAGCAGUGAGCAUCUUACCCAGUUCGUAUUUACAAGGCAGUGUUAUUAAUAUGUAGCAAGUAUACUUUCGGGUGUAUGCGCUAUAUGUUAGCUGCUUAUGUAAACUUAUAUACGACAUGGCUACUUCGAAAGUAAGUAGCUAAUCAAUUCGAAAACACGAUUUCCCUAUUUUUAAGUUUGCAUAAUUAUAUGACCCUAGUAUAUAAUAAAGUUGUAUACUUGUAUAUUGCUUUUGUUAUAUAUCAGUGUGUUAUAUGCUCCAUCAACUCGUGGUGGGGAUAGACCAUUGUUAAUUGUUGGUCUCGUCUUAACUAGGAAUGCCUUGUACGGGUCUUUGGUUCAACAGACCACCCGGAAUAUGUCCCUGCCCUUUGUACACACCGCCCGUCA